GGCAGCCUUGGCACAGAGUGAGCCAGGGAGCGCUCCUCCCCUCCUAGGUGCCUGGUGUCCGCUGCUCUGCGAAAGCUCCCGAAGGCAAAUCGUUGGUCCUAGGGCUCCCUCCGCCCCUUUCCACAUGCGGUCCUGACCUGUCCGUGACUCACCCCGGCAUUGGGUUCCGCGUGCGCGCGUGUGCUAGUGCGAUUUGCAAGCUUGACAGGAAGAAGUAUGCUGUAGUGGAAAGUGCACUGCAUUUGGAAUCAGAUGACCUGUUCCAAUCCUGGCUCUAUCAUUUAAUAUCUUGCAGGAACCCUAGAGAGGGGAGGGAGACAAGAAAAUACUAAAUGAAGAAAAAAGAAAACAUGCAACAUUAAGA
rnacentral:lncRNA from 1 species